AUGCUCAGCCUCAGCCUUAUUAUUUUUCUAUCUUUUGAGACAAGGUCUCACUCUUCGCCCAGGCUGGAGCGCAGUGGUGUGAGCGGCCCACACCGAAUUCAAAGCUGGGAGGAAUGUGAGCGGUCUUGCCCUGAGUCACCUGCUGCAGCUGGAAGGAGCCAUCACUGCCCCUUCUGUCUCUGUCUUCUGAGACUUUGCAGCACGCCAGGGCAUCUGCCUGACACCCAGUUCCAGAAAGUCUGGUUUUCUUCCCAAAGCCAGAGACCGUGUGCUUCAUCUAGGAGGUGGCUAGAAUGCCUUGGGAUAGGGAUGGGUGGGUCAAGAGGCUCACAGAAGAAUGGAAGUGAGGGCAGGGUUGCCCCUGUUCACAACUUCCUGCACAACCCCGCUUUCCAUGGGCAACAGCCAGCCCGGAGAGAGCACAGCUGUCCUCUGCUUGGGGGUUUGUGACACAAGGCAACGGGAGUGGCUGAACACGUAACAACAAAGGAGACUGCAGCCAUGGAGUCAGGGUCAGGGCACCGCGGUCCUGGUUCCAACCCAUGCCACUGACAACCAGCGUGACCUUCGGCAAGUCACUGCACCUCUCUGGGCCUCAGUUUCCUUUCCUGCAAAAUGUCGAUAAUAAAAAUAUAGUACCUACCUGGAAGGUUGUUUCUGUGCAUAAAUGUUAUCAGCUGUCAGAAAUAAUAAAAUUUAUAGUGAGACCUCAUCUCUGCAAAAAUAAAGUAAAAAAUUUAGCCAGGUGUGGCGGCAUGUGCCUGUAGUCUCAGCAACUCUUGAGGCUGAGGUGGGAGGAUUGCUUGAGCCCAGGAGGUCGAGGCUGCAGUGUGCUG
rnacentral:lncRNA from 1 species